AGCUCUCUAUAACUGUUCUGAGACCAGUGCAGACAGACAGCACACUGGAGGUUAAGUCAUGCACUAAAUAGGGAGCAAGGGAGCAUCCUAUAUCUCUCCUAUAACUGUUCUGAGACCAGUGCAGACAGACAGCACACUGGAGGUUAAGUCAUGCACUAAAUAGGGAGCAAGGGAGCAUCCUAUAGCUCUCUAUAACUGUUCUGAGACCAGUGCAGACAGACAGCACACUGGAGGUUAAGUCAUGCACUAAAUAGGGAGCAAGGGAACAUCCUAUAGCUCUCUAUAACUGUUCUGAGACCAGUGCAGACAGACAGCACACUGGAGGUUAAGUCAUGCACUAAAUAGGGAGCAAGGGAACAUCCUAUAGCUCUCUAUAACUGUUCUGAGACCAGUGCAGACAGACAGCACACUGGAGGUUAAGUCAUGCACUAAAUAGGGAGCAAGGGAGCAUCCUAUAGCUCUCUAUAACUGUUCUGAGACCAGUGCAGACAGACAGCACACUGGAGGUUAAGUCAUGCACUAAAUAGGGAGCAAGGGAGCAUCCUAUAGCUCUCCUAUAACUGUUCUGAGACCAGUGCAGACAGACAGCACACUGGAGGUUAAGUCAUGCACUAAAUAGGGAGCAAGUGAGCAUCCUAUAGCUCUCUAUAACUGU